UGGGGAAUAUUGCACAAUGGGCGCAAGCCUGAUGCAGCCAUGCCGCGUGUGUGAAGAAGGCCUUCGGGUUGUAAAGCACUUUCAGCGAGGAGGAAGGGUAGUGUGUUAAUAGCACAUUGCAUUGACGUUACUCGCAGAAGAAGCACCGGCUAACUCCGUGCCAGCAGCCGCGGUAAUACGGAGGGUGCAAGCGUUAAUCGGAAUUACUGGGCGUAAAGCGCACGCAGGCGGUUUGUUAAGUCAGAUGUGAAAUCCCCGCGCUUAACGUGGGAACUGCAUUUGAAACUGGCAAGCUAGAGUCUUGUAGAGGGGGGUAGAAUUCCAGGUGUAGCGGUGAAAUGCGUAGAGAUCUGGAGGAAUACCGGUGGCGAAGGCGGCCCCCUGGACAAAGACUGACGCUCAGGUGCGAAAGUGUGGGGAGCAAACA
rnacentral:rRNA from 1 species